UACGGAGGAUGCAAGCGUUAUCCGGAUUUAUUGGGCGUAAAGCGUCCGCAGGUGGUUGUUCAAGUCUGCUGUUAAAGCGCGAGGCUUAACCUUGUACAGGCAGUGGAAACUGAGCGACUAGAGUAUGGUAGGGGUAGCGGGAAUCCCCAGUGUAGCGGUGAAAUGCGUAGAUAUUGGGAAGAACACCAGCGGCGAAAGCGCGCUACUGGGCCAUUACUGACACUCAUGGACGAAAGCUAGGGGAGCGAAUGGG
rnacentral:rRNA from 1 species